rnacentral:misc_RNA from 1 species
UUUUUCUCUCCCUCUUAGUUUGAGGAACAGUUGCUCUAUGAUUUGUCCGAUUCCGCAAAAGAAGGCACUUGAUUCAGAAUAAAUCAUCGGCAGAUGGCACAGAUGCUCCCAUCAUUAAACUGUUGAGGACACGAUGAAAGGAACAUGCCGUUACCAGCAAGCUAUCAACAGACGGCAUUUUCCAGAGCAGACGACAGUUACCUAAACGCAUAGAACAGACGACAUCUUUCACAUUGAUUGAGGUCCCUUUUCCCCACAGUGGUCGGUCUGCGCUGGACAUUAAUCAGUGAUUGUCCGGCACCGUUACUUUAUCGUCGUAAUUAACCUUAUUUAUCUGGACACCUGCUCUGUUACACAAGCAAGAAUUGUCGCCAAGUGAACACAGUGCGAGGUCUUUUUGAAUCAGAGUUAUAUUUACAACCACACAGAAG